rnacentral:rRNA from 1 species
AACGAACGCUGGCGGCAUGCCUAACACAUGCAAGUCGAACGAGAUCUUCGGGUCUAGUGGCGCACGGGUGCGUAACGCGUGGGAAUCUGCCCUUUGGUUCGGAAUAACAGUUGGAAACGACUGCCAAUACCGGAUGAUGACGAAAGUCCAAAGAUUUAUCGCCAGAGGAUGAGCCCGCGUAGGAUUAGCUAGUUGGUGUGGUAAAGGCGCACCAAGGCGACGAUCCUUAGCUGGUCUGAGAGGAUGAUCAGCCACACUGGGACUGAGACACGGCCAGGACUCCUACGGGAGGCAGCAGUGGGGAAUAUUGGACAAUGGGCGAAAGCCUGAUCCAGCAAUGCCGCGUGAGUGAUGAAGGCCUUAGGGUUGUAAAGCUCUUUUACCCGGGAUGAUAAUAACAGUACCGGGAGAAUAAGCUCCGGCUAACUCCGUGCCAGCCGCCGCGGUAA